rnacentral:misc_RNA from 1 species
GAUGAAGAACGCAGCGAAAUGAGAUAAGUAAUGUGAAUUGCAGAAUUCAGUGAAUCAUCGAAUCUUUGAACGCACAUUGCGCCCCUUGGUAUUCCGAGGGGCAUGCCUGUUCGAGCGUCAUUUCAACCCUCAAGCACAGCUUGGUCUUGGGCUUCGCCGCUAACCCGGCGGGUCUUAAAAUCAGUGGCGGUGCCGUCGGGCCCUGAGCGCAGUAAUCUCUCUCGCUAUAGGGUCCCGGCGGAUGCUGGCCAGUAACCCCCAAUUUUCUAUGGUUGACCUCGGAUCAGGUAGGGAUACCCGCUGAACUUAAGCAUAUCAAUAAGCGGAGGA